UAAGUUUCUCUCUCUUCUUAGCAGACACAACUCGGACAAUCAGAAGAGAGAGAGAAAGAUAGAGACUGAUAUAGUCCCUGAUCCUACUGUGGUUCGUCCCCAACUAACUAUUUAUAUAGGGCCUUAAUUUGAAGUUUCUCUUUGUUUGUAAAUUGACCUUUCUUCGAUGAUCUAUAUAAAUUCGAUUCACGUUGGUAAUUAAGAUAUUUGAGCCCACUACUUUGUCUCACAAGCCUUAGUGAGGGACGUAACAUCAAUAGAUAUCUAUUCUUUAUUUAUGAAUACAACUUCCUUACUUUAUUAGAAUGAAUCUAGUGAAGACACGACUCGUACCUUCGUUUCU